rnacentral:rRNA from 1 species
UACAGAGGGGGCGAGCGUUGUUCGGAAUUACUGGGCGUAAAGGGCGCGUAGGCGGCCUUCUAAGUCGGACGUGAAAUCCCUCGGCUCAACCGAGGAACUGCGUCCGAUACUGGUUGGCUUGAAUUCGGGAGAGGGAUGCGGAAUUCCAGGUGUAGCGGUGAAAUGCGUAGAUAUCGAGAGGAACACCGGUGGCGAAGGCGGCGAUCUGGACGAUGACUGACGCUGAGACGCGAAAGCGUGGGGAGCAAACAGG